rnacentral:rRNA from 1 species
GUUAAGCGACUAAGCGUACACGGUGGAUGCCCUGGCAGUCAGAGGCGAUGAAGGACGUGCUAAUCUGCGAUAAGCGUCGGUAAGGUGAUAUGAACCGUUAUAACCGGCGAUUUCCGAAUGGGGAAACCCAGUGUGAUUCGUCACACUAUCAUUAACUGAAUCCAUAGGUUAAUGAGGCGAACCGGGGGAACUGAAACAUCUAAGUACCCCGAGGAAAAGAAAUCAACCGAGAUUCCCCCAGUAGCGGCGAGCGAACGGGGAGCAGCCCAGAGCCUGAAUCAGUGUGUGUGUUAGUGGAAGCGUCUGGAAAGGCGCGCGAUACAGGGUGACAGCCCCGUACACAAAAAUGCACAUACUGUGAGCUCGAUGAGUAGGGCGGGACACGUGGUAUCCUGUCUGAAUAUGGGGGGACCAUCCUCCAAGGCUAAAUACUCCUGACUGACCGAUAGUGAACCAGUACCGUGAGGGAAAGGCGAAAAGAACCCCGGCGAGGGGAGUGAAAAAGAACCUGAAACCGUGUACGUACAAGCAGUGGGAGCACGCUUAGGCGUGUGACUGCGUACCUUUUGUAUAAUGGGUCAGCGACUUAUAUUCUGUAGCAAGGUUAACCGAAUAGGGGAGCCGAAGGGAAACCGAGUCUUAACUGGGCGUUAAGUUGCAGGGUAUAGACCCGAAACCCGGUGAUCUAGCCAUGGGCAGGUUGAAGGUUGGGUAACACUAACUGGAGGACCGAACCGACUAAUGUUGAAAAAUUAGCGGAUGACUUGUGGCUGGGGGUGAAAGGCCAAUCAAACCGGGAGAUAGCUGGUUCUCCCCGAAAGCUAUUUAGGUAGCGCCUCGUGAAUUCAUCUCCGGGGGUAGAGCACUGUUUCGGCAAGGGGGUCAUCCCGACUUACCAACCCGAUGCAAACUGCGAAUACCGGAGAAUGUUAUCACGGGAGACACACGGCGGGUGCUAACGUCCGUCGUGAAGAGGGAAACAACCCAGACCGCCAGCUAAGGUCCCAAAGUCAUGGUUAAGUGGGAAACGAUGUGGGAAGGCCCAGACAGCCAGGAUGUUGGCUUAGAAGCAGCCAUCAUUUAAAGAAAGCGUAAUAGCUCACUGGUCGAGUCGGCCUGCGCGGAAGAUGUAACGGGGCUAAACCAUGCACCGAAGCUGCGGCAGCGACGCUGAUGCGUUGUUGGGUAGGGGAGCGUUCUGUAAGCCUGUGAAGG